UCCACAUGUCUUGGUUCCUUCCCUCCAAAUUGCUGAGAUCCUCAUGGAAAAGCUUCCUGGAACCUUCUCCAAAAUGUUUGUCAGAGAGGGUGUUGUUCAUGCUGUAGAUCAGCUUGUAUUAAUUGGUAACCAAAAUGCCACUGCUGCCCAAGCAUCUCCUCUUGAGAAGGAUAAUGAUUCUGUAUCUGGAACGUCAUCACGUUCCAGGCGUUACAGACGACGCAGUGGUAACUCUAAUCCUGAAGGAGGUUCUGUGGAGGAGUCCAAAAAUCAGGCCUCUUUAAAUAUUGGCUCACCUCCUAAUACUGUUGAAAUUCCUACGGCCAAUUCCAAUAUUCGUGCUGCAGUAAGUGCAUGUGCUAAAGCAUUUAAAGAUAAGUAUUUCCCCUCUGAUCCUGGGGCUGUUGAAGUUGGAGUAACAGAUGAUCUUAUACACUUAAAAAGUCUCUGCAUGAAAUUAAAUGCUGGCAUUGAUGAUCAAAAGACUAAGGCAAAAGGAAAAUCUAAAGCUUCAGGGUGUCGGUUGGUUGAUUUUUCUUCUAGCAAAGAAGAGUAUUUGAUUGGUGUGAUUUCUGAGAUGCUAGCAGAACUAAGCAAGGGGGAUGGUGUAUCCACGUUUGAGUUUAUUGGUAGUGGUGUUGUGGCGGCCUUGUUAAGCUAUUUUUCUUGUGGGUACUUCUCGCUGGAGAGAGUUUCUGAUGUAAACCUGCCCAAGCUUCGCCACCAAGCCCUUAAACGAUUAAAAUUAUUUAUUAGUGUGGCACUUCCUUCAAGUGUUGAUGAAGGAAGUAUUGCUCCUAUGACUGUCCUGGUUCAGAAG
rnacentral:lncRNA from 1 species